rnacentral:rRNA from 1 species
GCACAAGCGGCGGAGCAUGUGGUUUAAUUCGAAGCAACGCGAAGAACCUUACCAGGUCUUGACAUCCCCUGACAACCCGAGAGAUCGGGCGUUCCCCUUCGGGGGACAGGGUGACAGGUGGUGCAUGGUUGUCGUCAGCUCGUGUCGUGAGAUGUUGGGUUAAGUCCCGCAACGAGCGCAACCCUCGACCUUAGUUGCCAGCAUUCAGUUGGGCACUCUAAGGUGACUGCCGGCUAAAAGUCGGAGGAAGGUGGGGAUGACGUCAAAUCAUCAUGCCCCUUAUGACCUGGGCUACACACGUGCUACAAUGGGCGGUACAAAGGGUCGCGAACCCGCGAGGGGGAGCCAAUCCCAAAAAGCCGCUCUCAGUUCGGAUUGCAGGCUGCAACUCGCCUGCAUGAAGCCGGAAUCGCUAGUAAUCGCGGAUCAGCAUGCCGCGGUGAAUACGUUCCCGGGCCUU